rnacentral:rRNA from 1 species
GUAGGGAAUCUUCCACAAUGGACGAUAGUCUGAUGGAGCAACGCCGCGUGAGUGAAGAAGUUUUUCUGCUCGUAAUCCUCUGUUGUUAAAGAAGAACUUAUCUGAGAGUCACUGUUCAGGUGUCGGCGGUCUUUCACCAGAAAGCCACGGAUAACUACCCGCCAGCAGCCGUGGUAAUAUGUAGGUCGGCAAGUGUUGUCCGUUUUUAUUGGGAGUAAAGCGGGCGCGGGUUUUUUUUUAUUUUUGAUGAGAACGCUCUUCGGCUCAGCCGAAGAAGCGUCAUGGGAAAGUGGGAAAUGGGAGAGGAGAAGGGGACAGUGGAACCCCAUGUGGAGCGGUGAAAUGUGGAGAUAUAGAAAAGCACCCCAGGGGAGGAGGGGUGUGUCUUGUGUGAAAGUGGCGGUGGGGCUAGAGCGUGGGGGGCGAACACAAGAUUAGAUCCCC